CCUCCGGGACCCGAAGCGGACCGUCCAGGGCAAGUCGUCACCGGGGGACACGCACAGUCGGUUGGGUCUCUUUCUACUUUUCGCUUCCCUUUCUGUCUCGCAAAGCACAACUCCUGUAAUCCGUUCUCACUCCCUUCACACCACGCCUUCCUGUUCCAGAAAGAGAACGCUGAAAGUAGCCAUCUAUGGGAGUCCUCCUAGCCUUUUGCAUGAAGCGUCCGUCCCGCCCAGCCUUGUUCUUAGGUUCCAGAGCCUUGGAGCUGAGGUCAUGGCUUCGACCCUUGCUGACCCUCUUAACUUUGUUCUGCUCUGUAGCCACAAAUAGACCUUUCUGUUUGGUCACAAGAAGACAAAACAAAGCGUCAAGCCAAAGUGACACAAGCUUGGAUAUUGCUAUGCAGUUCAGGCUGGCCUUGGGCUCACUUUGUAGCCCAGGCUAGUCUCAAACUCAUAAGGACCCUCCUGCCUCAGCCUCCCGAGUGCUGGGAUUACAGGUGUGAUCCCCCAUGCCUGGCUCCCAAGUGUAUUUAACACAGCAAAAUCACAACGUGGGUCAAACUGAUUGCACAUGAUGAUGCUACAGACCAGUGUGGAUGUUUGAGAGGAGCCCUAGAGAAAUGACAGCCCUGAAGGCAUGGCCAGAAGGUCAGCUGGCCACCUGUUUGUAGCGACUCACCACUCUGGCCAAGCCUGAAGCUAUCUACAGCACAGAGGCCUAUGGGGACACUUGCAGCUAUAUGUGAAAGACCAAAGAGGCUCCCUUAGUCACUAAAUUUCCCAGACUUGGCUUGAACUUGUGAACCUCCUGCCUCAGCCUCCCAGAAUGUGUUCUACUCUUCCCAGGUGUGUUCCAGAAUUAUAGCUGUAUUCCAUAAUGCCCAGUGUGAAGAGUAAUCUUUCACAUGCUUGUUGGUAUAUAUAUAUGUCUUCUUUGGAGAAAUGUGUAUUUAGAUUCUUUGUCUAUUUUAAAAUUGGGUUAUUUGUCUUCUUAUUGAGUUUUAGGCCUUUUAUUCUUGUAGGCGUGUAUGUAUUUAAUAAGUAAAAACCACAUCACUUCAUUAGUUGCUGCAAAUUAUAAAUGAGAGGCAAUAAUUCAAGAGGGCACCAGAAAAUACUUUUAUCCAUUAAAUAGCAAAAAAGAUAAUCACCUUCA